rnacentral:rRNA from 1 species
UAAAUAAAUAAUUCAAAUAUAAAGUGAAUUAAAUAAAAUGAUACAAUGCGACCUCAGGUUAGGUGAGACUACCCGCUGAAUUUAAGCAUAUUAAUAAGCGGAGGAAAAGAAACUAA